GGCAAACGCAAGGAUUACAGCACUUUGCUUCUUUUCAUUUUUUCCACUUAAAGGAGGGGAGAAAAAAAUGCUUUACUACCAUGUAAUGAAUUACAAAUUACAAAAGAAGAAAGAAAAACAACACUGUACACAAGAAUGUGGAUUGAAGCACAAAGGAAUGGAUGUUUCGGAAUGAUUACCAACUCCCACACAAAAAGGGGCAGCUGUGAAUUAAAAUUGAGAAAUCAUUCCAAAACAAGUACACAAUGUGGUGUUGCCUAAUAAUCCUAUUGCAGCUCUUCUCAAAUGACAAAUGCUUCACCUAUCCCAUGCGGCCUGGUAUACGCUAGGUCUAUGCUUCAACCAAUGGACCAUCUCCCUGUCUAGAAGAGAAUUGUUCAAUACAGAAUCUAGCAUUGGGCUGCCAAUAACUUUUGGAGAACUCUUGAAUGACCAUAUCUGGUCUUUAGGCCAAGGCUUCUGAGGGUACUUUUCCAUCCUUUCCAGCAAAAGCUUCAGAGUCUUUGGACCAUAAAUGCGUUGCUGUGAUGGCUUCUGAACCUUGGCAUAGAAGGAACCAAUGUCAGGUAAAGACAAGCAGCCCCUACUUGCCUUAGCCAGGCUACAAUCUGGUUCAGCAUUAGUCUGUAUAUGCCAAUAGAUCAACUGUCCCAAACAAUAAUUUUCACCAUAUGUCUUUCGAUAUUCAUGGAUACCUGCUCCCAACUUAUCAGCAUACUUCGGACCCAAGUCAAGCGGACUAAUGUGAACUGGUGGAGAAGUAUAUGUUUUGUACUCCUGAACUCUAAAGAAGCUUCUUGUGUAAGCAUAAAUAUGGAUCAAGUCAGCUGCAGCAUCAUUCCGGCACUUGUAUGUACAUGGAAUAUUCCGGACUUCAUCCCUCAACCACAACAAUGACUUCUGAAGUUCUUUCCGAAUGUUAUCACAUUCUGAUAAAUCACGUGCAUGAAUCUUGGACUUGAGAUCAUUAAGUAUGCUGGCAUCCACAUGAGGUGCCAUGCACUGAAGAAGCUCCUCAACAAGUGAUCCCUCCCCUUUCCAGAGGAAAGAAACAGUUUCCUCAGGACUUAGCCUCUCCAAUGGAGGUGGAGCUUUUUUUGGGUCACCAAAUACACAUCUCAUCACAUACCUCACCUUGUCAAGAGUUACUGCUAAAUUUUGAAGCCUCUGGUUAUAAACACCUUCAGCCUGAACCUCGGCAUCACUUCUUUCAACCUCAAGACAAAUAUCUGAGAAAUAUUUCCUUUUUUCUUCCAAAUUGUGCCUUAGAAUUUCCUCAGGAAGCUUCGUUCUCUCCAGAUUUAUGAACCUCACCAGACGAGCAGAAUAUGCAACCACCCAAUCUGGCAAACCACCAAGCAAACAACUGCCUAAACCAGCCCUCCCCAAGUCAAGAUAAUCUUCUUCAGAUACUGAAUUUAGUUCACAAGCUUGAAGCAUCAAAUGAUGUCGAUCCAGCAUGGCAUGCCACUCCUUCAGUACCUUCUGGAAAGCCCCUUCACCUGUCAGAUUUAAGUAGCUGCCCCGACAAACUUGGCUACCACACAAACAAACAGAUGCUUCAUAUUCUUCCUUACUCUCUGUCACAGAAUUGUAAUCAAAUGUGAUCUCCUCGCCAUAUUGAAUUUCCCGUAGAGUGUAGAUUCCAAUCUGGUAUUGACCAUCUACAGCAGUAACUUUCGCUUCACAGUUAGGUCUGCAAGAGUGACAAAUUCGACUGGCAUAGUUUGCCUUAUGCAUGGCAUCGACAACCACCAAAUCAUAACCAUCAGCAUCACCCUUUGGCCUCUCGAGAUAAAUGUUGUAAAAUUCUGGAGCAGGAUCUUUAUUAUCUUUUUGUAAAGAUCGGAUGCCAUCUUGCUUCUCAAACCAUUUCCAAGCAGGAUAAACCUCUCCCAAGAAUUCCACAACAAAAUCAUCUUCUCCAAAACCACCUUCUUUAUUGCAAACAACACCAAGACCCUUCCUGUAAGUAACAUAAUUGUCAUCAGGACGACCAUCUAUGGCCUUAAGGAUGCCCCGACACAUUUUCAUUGUUCGCACAUCACAGUCCUCCUCAGCAGUUUUUUCAAUUUCUUCUACAACAGGUUGCAAAGGAUACAUCAUUGGAGUGUUCCCAGAGCCAGUAAAGUUUCUGACUUGCUUAUUCAGAGUUUGAAGGAGUAUAUCUUCAAUAAACAAAUGCUUUUCCAACAAAGACCAAUCUAAUUCCUCAGGCAUCGAAUCAAGUAAAAGAUUAUGGGUAUAAGGAUCAAUCCCAUAAACUUCUUGUUCUAUAACUUCAUCUCCAAGCCUUUUUCUAGGUUUAUAGUCCUUGACUUCAGGAAGCUCCAUAUCCAAUUCCUCAGUGCCAUUUUUCUGUGCAUCAAGCUUCUCGGCAAAAUCAUCAGGCAAAGAAACACACAUCUUCCUUUGAACAUCCUCUUCAUCUGCUACAAUAACAUACUGAUCUAUAACUUCAUAUUUCCUAGUGACAGGAGGAACAAGACUCGCUUUUGUCAUCCGAGCACCCCAUUCACGCUCGUCUGUUAUCAAAUCUAAACCCUCAUCUUCCAUAAAGAAUCCAUCCCCUCUGUACUCCCCAAUUCGAGCUUCUGAUCGGACAUCCAAGUCACUUUCUGUAUCUGAGGAAGUACUUUCACUAUCACCACCCUCAUCUUCAGAAGACUUGCCAAAUUCAUCGGAAGUUUCACUCCCUGAAUCCAUGGACUUUCGGUUCAAUUUGGAUAAGCACCUUCUGAUUUCCUGAUCAGAUGCAUAUUCUCCAUAAUCAAUACUACCAUUUGCAUAGGCUGUGCCGUUAAUCCUAUUAGUGUUCUUCUUUUCCAUAAAUAACUUCUUCUUAUACUUCAUGGGAGUAUAGCCUAACCCUGCAGACAAAUCAUCCUUCCACAACUUCAUUAAUUCAUCUCUUUCAUAAGAAAACUUAGAACUAUCUUCCAAAUGUGAGGCAAGUUUGAGAAAUAAUGUAAUGAUGUGAUUCAUGUCUCCAGCACCCCGAUUCUUUGCUUUAAUUGCAUCUCUGCACAUUCGACUGAUAUCCUCCUUGACAGACCUUAAACCAUGACUGAUAUAAUAACCAUUUUUCAUCCUAUCUUCAAUUUUUGCUACCUUGGGCACAAAAAAAUCGAAGGUAUUCUCCUUCAUGAUGUCCUUCAAACCUGAAGCAAGAAAUCCUUCCAUCCUCCUAUAGCCACUUUCAGAUUUUUUGAUGGCCCAUCGCCUGAUACGGGCAUCUCUAGAUAGAAUUGAUGAUGAUCUUCUAGCAUCAAACAACUUUGAUCGUUUAUACAGACUCCGUCGGAAUAAUUGAUUUGCUGGAUCCCUCUUAUUCACACUGUUAAAAUACUCUUUUAGUUCACCAAAAUCGUCUGCAUCACUACCCAGAUCCUUUGUUCUACAAAAUGUAGGAGUUUUUUCGCUGAUCUGUUUAAGACUCCUUAUUUUAGAAUAUGAAUCCUCAGAGAUCUCAAUACCACGUGAACUACGAGUCCUGAUCCAGCUCACAUCAGGAAAUUUAAGAGGCAACUCCUUGAAUUGGCUGCAACCUCUAACAUCUACAGAAGAUAAAAAAGGGAAAGAGCGAAGAAUAUCUUCAAGCAAGCCUGAAGUAAUAUUUGUGCAACCCAACAGCACCAUUGAAUUUAUCCUCUCUUUGUUAUAACCACUCAUAAUGUUCCAAAUGAUCGAGUCGGUGCAGUUAGGACCUAAAUGUGAGAGAUCAACUUGUCUUGAGAUAUCCUUGUAAAAGCUGGCAGCAGCCCUCCAGUGCUUACAAGUAAAAGAAGCAAAGAAAAGGGAUUUCAAGUCAGAUCUCAGAAAAUGAAAGACUCGUGCCAGUAUAUGACCAUCCAAUAAACCCCAGCUUCCCAACUCAGUCUCUGAGGAUGCAAUACUUUCUCUGCUGAAAGUAAGAUCACCACACAAUUCUUCAAAAGUGGUAUCAUCCUUUUGAAUGGUUUGCAAGUCUUCAUCCAUUUCAUAGUCAUCAUCACUUCCAUCAAGCUGCAACCGAGCUCUUUUGCCAGCACGUGCGUCAAUUUCUGAUUUUCGAUAUAUGUGGUUAUCAAUCUCCUUCUUAGGCUGUUUAGCAUUGAUCCAUGGAUCCAAAACAUCAUUUAUGGCAGCAGCGAACUCCCGGCUCUUAUAAGAUUUCAUUACCAAUUCAUGUAGCUUCCCACGGGUAUAACCAAUGAACUGUGGAUGCAGGCUAUGAAAUGAAAUGGAAUUUGAGUUGCUUUCAUUAUCGGCAGCACUAUGCAAUUUUGAAAGAGUUGAUGAAGAAUCACAACAUACUGCAACAUUCUCUUUUUGAAUUUUAACAGUGGAUUCAGACGUUUCUGUGGCAGGGGUAAUUGGAACCCACACUCUAUCAUAUUUCCUGAAAGCACUGCUAUAUUUUUGGAGAGCGCCAUGAUCUGCCAAGACCUGAAGCUCUAAAAAUGAAGAUGGCCCUCGUUCAUGCCCAGAACCAUCAAAGUAGUACCACUCACCCAAAUGUAACUGUAAGUCAUCCACAGUGCAAAGACGAUCUUUAGGAAUGUUAAUGGAUGAAAUUGAUUUCCAAGAACCAUGAGAGUCUUGAUCAGUUUUGGAAUGAGAAUCGCCUUCUGUUAUCAAUUUCUUCCCAUUAUUAGCAGCUAAGUAUGCCCGAGCAGACCUCGAAGGAUACCUGUCCUUCCCUCGAGCUUUUGUGCGAGGUUCUGAAACAAAUGAACCAUGGUCCUUGACAACACAUGCAUUUAUCCUGACCACUGGUAGCAUAGUUCCUUUCACCCCCCUAACAAUAGGAAUGGGAGGCUUAGCAACAGCUAGUCUGCUGACACCACCACAUUCAUUCCUCUCAUCUGGGCAGGAGAAAGCCCAAGGAGGCAGGUCAAGUCUUCUGCUUUGAGAAGGAUAAUACAGAUCAUCUUUUCUAUGCCAACGUGGGUCCUCAGACCCUGAUUUUGGCAUUUGGCACAAUGGAAAGCCAUCAUUGAGAACAUGUUUCCUUCUAGAAAAUCUAUCCUGUACAGUGUCAUCAUUCCUCUUCCAGUCUCCACCCUUGCAUGACCAUCGGCCAGAAAACCAAUCAGCGGAGUCAAUAAAACAGGCAGAGCCUUGGUCUUUUUCAGAGAUUGCACUUGAUCUCACUUCAACAGCAUCCUUAGCUUUCAUGUCAGAGUACCCUGAUAAUUCAUCAUUUUCACCAUGUUGGUCUGAUACAUAAGCCUGAUUCCAAGUGAAACCUUCUAAUUUUUCCCAUCUCUCCCAUGUUGCAUGCUCAAAUGUCAUUUGCAAAACUUCUCCAAUUGUCUCUAGUUCUCUGCCAGGAACAACAGUAACACCCCCCAACAGAGCUCCAACCCUUUCAUCAAUGUUGAGAUCUUCCAAAGGUUCAGGUACACCUGAACUGUCACUAUCACAGACCAGGGAUUGUGGCAAAGUCAUCAGCACUUCGUCACCAUUCUGAAUACCAGAUUGCCCUAUAUCUCCUGUAUCUGACAGUAGAUUACCAGGUGCCUCCGGUGGACUCACUAGCUGGGUUAUAGUGUCUGACGUAAUAGAUAGGAAAUUUGCAGUCACCAAUGGUGAAACUGCAUUUUCAAUGGUUACCCACCUGUUGCUAUCCAUGUGCUUGAUCAAGUGAUCCGACACAAGAACUCCCUCAUCCACAAGCGUCUUAAGGUCGCAUAAUUUUGAAGGCCCACAUUCCAGGCCAAAGUAGUCAAGGUAAAACCAUUUUCCCGUGGAGGAAUCAGCCACAACAGGGACAUGAGGUGGUGUGUCACAUAUAUCCAUAUCUUCUUCCAUAGAUAGUAGCUCUUCAGGAGGAGGUCCAUCAACACGAGGAGAUUCUUUGUUAUUCAUGCUCGGACUCUGGGACUGCUCUUCUUUGUGAGACGCAGAAGUGACAUUUUUUUCUUCCAAUCCAUUGGCAUCAUGCAGUCCAUUCUUAUCUUGAGAUUCUUUAGCCAAGAAUUGUGAAUCUCUUCCCCCAGAGUCCUUCUGGCUGAGCUUAUCAUCAUGACCUUUAUUACCAAACUGAGAGUUCCGCUUCUCACUUGACCCACCUUUACGGAUUGCUUCCCUGUAAUUACUGGAUCUAUUCCGAUCAAGUGGGGAACGCUCCAGAAAGUUUGGGGUCCGAUCCCUGCGAUCAUGAAACCGGUCCUGUGAGGACCUCUCUGAAUGAGUAGGGCUUCUCCUAUAAUCAUGAUGACGGCUCCUAUCAUAUGGGGAUUUAUCACGUCCAUAUGGAGACCUCUCACGUCCAUACGGGGAUUUCUCACGUCCAUAAGGGGAUCUCUCACGGCGACAAGGGGAUCUUUCUCGAGCAUACGGAGAUCUUUCGCGUCGCACUGGACUCCGAUCCCUGUGAUCAUAGUACCUGACUCGGUCACGUGGGGACCGCUCAGAAAAACCUGGACUGCGUCCAUGCCUAUCAUAAACUACUUUGGAAGACAAAGUGGGUUCAUGAUGCCUGGAGGAAAAUCUGUCCAAUGAAGAUAUUCUCGAAGAAGAAGAGGAGGAAGAGUUUCUAUAGAACCUAUCCAAAGAGUGGCGUGAAUAGUGAUCUGAGUGAGCAGUGCGAGCACUAUCCUCAGAAAGUUUCCUGCUUUUGGAGCUUGCAUAGUCCCCAUAAUCCCCAUAAUGUUUGCGCUCAUUGUUUUCUGACUCAGUGCAGUAUCGCUUCAACCUGUUACCAGAAGUGUACUCUCUUCCAUGAUUCUUGCCAUUGCUGUAUUCACUCUUAUAUGAGCCUUCUUCAUCCACAAUCUUUGAACUGAUUCUUAUAUUCCUUUCCAGGCCCCCCUCCCACCUAGAAGAACUUUUACCAUGCUGAAUACUCCCACUCCUGCUGAACUCUUUCCUUCUGUAAAUGUCUUCACUGGAAUACUUUCCAGAAGGUGGUGGAGUACGCUCUCUGCUGGUGUCGUACCUGCCACGGUAUUUAUUGUAACUGUAAUCGUCUUUAUUAUGCCAUCUGUCUGGAAUGAACUCUCCUUUCUCAAUCUCAUCUCUGCCAAAUUCCCCUUUUCGCCAUCUGCCCGAACCCAAAACAGCCUCACCCUUCUCCAUAUCCCCUUUCCUCCAUUUCUCACCAACAAUCUCUCCCUUCUCGAUUCCAUUUCUUCUUGAUUUCUCUUGUGGAACAAACUCUCCGUUCUCAACUUCUGCUUUUGGUGGCCACUUCAAAGUUCCUAAUUCCCCCUCUUCAACUUCCUCUUUAUUACUCUGCACCUUGUUAUCAAAAGAACCUGAAACGUUGUCAGCUUCCUUGCAAAUCUUUGGCUCAUUCUCCUUGCUACUAUUUGCCGCCCCUUCCCAGCUGAUCUUUGCUUCCUUCUCCUUGCUAAUUUUUGCUGCUUUCUCUGAUCCCAAUUCACCCUUCUCUGCCAUUGCUUUCUUCACUGUAACAACCUUUUUUACCUUAAUUACCUUCUUCAAUACUUUUUUGGGCUUUGAGUUGAAGCCAUUGAUAGUACUGUUGCCAUUGCUAUUACUAUUAUUGUUGUUAUUUUUGGUAGUAGUAGUAGUGGUGUUGGUAGUAGUGGAAUUGCCAGUUUUGCCUCCACUGCAAAGUGUUGUCGCAUUGUCCUGAAUUGGAAACCUUUCCAUGAUACUAUUAUGCUGCAAAGGCAUGCAAGCGACACCUCCAUCCCCCAUGGAAAUCCCUCUAUGGAAUCAAAUUACUCGAAACCCUAGUGCUCCCCUCGCCCGGGGUUAUCAAUGCUCAUACUGCGAAAUUCGCUUCCAUUUUCUCGACCUUUGCUCCAAUUCAAAACCCUAACUUCGAAAAAUCCACAAAACAGAACCAGAAAUCAACACAAAACCAAUGUAGGGUUUCAUUAAGACGGAUAAGUAUGCACAUUAAACCCAAAAAAUAAAAAUAAAAACAAAGCAAAGAACGUUAAUUGGAUAAGCUUGAAACCCUAGGGUUUCUAUCCAGAAGAGAAAGAAGAUAAAUAGAAAAACAGAGAGAAAGUGAGGGAAAAUACCAGGAAAAUUAACGAGCUGAAAUGAUAGAUCGACGAGAAAAGCCUUGAGAGCUGAGAAUUCGCACAGAGAAUUUCGCAAAACUCAGAUCGAUAGAGAAGAAAGGGAAAAAAAAUAGCUGAAAGAUAAAUCUUUAUUUUUUUUUCUCUCCGUUUUUUAUCUUUCCUUAUAUAUUUCUUUCGCUAAAUCUUUGUAUUUCUCUCGCUCGUGUUGUGUUGUUCUUGGUCCGAAGGAGCAAACCUUCUGUAAUUUUUCUUUUU
rnacentral:misc_RNA from 1 species